CCUACGGGAGGCAGCAGUGGGGAAUUUUGGACAAUGGGGGCAACCCUGAUCCAGCAAUGCCGCGUGAGUGAAGAAGGCCUUCGGGUUGUAAAGCUCUUUUGUCAGGGAAGAAACACCGGCUCUAACACAGUCCGGGAAUGACGGUACCUGAAGAAUAAGCACCGGCUAACUACGUGCCAGCAGCCGCGGUAAUACGUAGGGUGCGAGCGUUAAUCGGAAUUACUGGGCGUAAAGCGUGCGCAGGCGGUUAUACAAGACAGGCGUGAAAUCCCCGGGCUUAACCUGGGAAUGGCGCCUGUGACUGUAUAGCUAGAGUGUGUCAGAGGGGGGUAGAAUUCCACGUGUAGCAGUGAAAUGCGUAGAUAUGUGGAGGAAUACCAAUGGCGAAGGCAGCCCCCUGGGAUAACACUGACGCUCAUGCACGAAAGCGUGGGGAGCAAACAGGAUUAGAUACCCUUGUAGUC
rnacentral:rRNA from 1 species